rnacentral:rRNA from 1 species
UACGUAGGGGGCAAGCGUUGUCCGGAAUUAUUGGGCGUAAAGCGCGCGUAGGCGGCCUUGUAAGUCUGUUGUUUAAACUCGGGGCUCAACUCCGAGUCGCAAUGGAAACUGCAAAGCUUGAGUACAGAAGAGGAAAGUGGAAUUCCACGUGUAGCGGUAAAAUGCGUAGAGAUGUGGAGGAACACCAGUGGCGAAGGCGACUUUCUGGGCUGUAACUGACGCUGAGGCGCGAAAGCGUGGGGAGCAAACAGG